UCCAGAGUUUGAUCAUGGCUCAGAUUGAACGCUGGCGGCAGGCCUAACACAUGCAAGUCGAACGGUAGCACAGAGAGCUUGCUCUCGGGUGACGAGUGGCGGACGGGUGAGUAAUGUCUGGGAAACUGCCCGAUGGAGGGGGAUAACUACUGGAAACGGUAGCUAAUACCGCAUAACGUCGCAAGACCAAAGAGGGGGACCUUCGGGCCUCUUGCCAUCGGAUGUGCCCAGAUGGGAUUAGCUAGUAGGUGGGGUAACGGCUCACCUAGGCGACGAUCCCUAGCUGGUCUGAGAGGAUGACCAGCCACACUGGAACUGAGACACGGUCCAGACUCCUACGGGAGGCAGCAGUGGGGAAUAUUGCACAAUGGGCGCAAGCCUGAUGCAGCCAUGCCGCGUGUAUGAAGAAGGCCUUCGGGUUGUAAAGUACUUUCAGCGAGGAGGAAGGCAUUAAGGUUAAUAACCUUGGUGAUUGACGUUACUCGCAGAAGAAGCACCGGCUAACUCCGUGCCAGCAGCCGCGGUAAUACGGAGGGUGCAAGCGUUAAUCGGAAUUACUGGGCGUAAAGCGCACGCAGGCGGUCUGUCAAGUCGGAUGUGAAAUCCCCGGGCUCAACCUGGGAACUGCAUCCGAAACUGGCAGGCUAGAGUCUUGUAGAGGGGGGUAGAAUUCCAGGUGUAGCGGUGAAAUGCGUAGAGAUCUGGAGGAAUACCGGUGGCGAAGGCGGCCCCUGGACAAGACUGACGCUCAGGUGCGAAAGCGUGGGGAGCAAAACGAUUAGAUACCCUGGUAGUCCACGCCGUAAACGAUGUCGACUUGGAGGUUGUGCCCUUGAGGCGUGGCUUCCGGAGCUAACGCGUUAAGUCGACCGCCUGGGGAGUACGGCCGCAAGGUUAAAACUCAAAUGAAUUGACGGGGGCCCGCACAAGCGGUGGAGCAUGUGGUUUAAUUCGAUGCAACGCGAAGAACCUUACCUACUCUUGACAUCCAGAGAACUUAGCAGAGAUGCUUUGGUGCCUUCGGGAACUCUGAGACAGGUGCUGCAUGGCUGUCGUCAGCUCGUGUUGUGAAAUGUUGGGUUAAGUCCCGCAACGAGCGCAACCCUUAUCCUUUGUUGCCAGCGAUUCGGUCGGGAACUCAAAGGAGACUGCCAGUGAUAAACUGGAGGAAGGUGGGGAUGACGUCAAGUCAUCAUGGCCCUUACGAGUAGGGCUACACACGUGCUACAAUGGCAUAUACAAAGAGAAGCGACCUCGCGAGAGCAAGCGGACCUCAUAAAGUAUGUCGUAGUCCGGAUUGGAGUCUGCAACUCGACUCCAUGAAGUCGGAAUCGCUAGUAAUCGUGGAUCAGAAUGCCACGGUGAAUACGUUCCCGGGCCUUGUACACACCGCCCGUCACACCAUGGGAGUGGGUUGCAAAAGAAGUAGGUAGCUUAACCUUCGGGAGGGCGCUUACCACUUUGUGAUUCAUGACUGGGGUGAAGUCGUAACAAGGUAACCGUAGGGGAACCUGCGGCUGGAUCACCUCCUU
rnacentral:rRNA from 1 species